GUCUGGCAUGGUGGUGCAUGCCUGUAAUCCUAGCUACUUGGGAGGCUGAGGCAGGAGAAUCGCUUGAACCUGGGAGACGGAGGUUGCAGUGAGCGGAGAUCGCACCACUGCACCUCAGCCUGGGUGACAGAGUGAGACUCUGUCUCUA
ensembl:misc_RNA Metazoa_SRP Metazoan signal recognition particle RNA